CAUAAAACAGUUUUAAAAAAUUUCAAAUAGGCAUAUAUAAACGUAUUAAUUAAUUAUCAAUAUAUAGGCUAUUAAUUUGAACAUGUAGAGUAGCCUACAAGAAACUGCUCUUGUAAUAAGGAACUGGUGCUCUGCAUUUAACCCAUCCAAGUGCACACACACAGCAGUGAGAAGUGAACACACACCCGGAGCAGUGGGCAGCUACAGAUCCAGCGCUGGGGAGCAACUGGGGUUUCAGUGCCAGGGUACUGAGUUCAGUCAUGGGUACUGAGGGUGGAAGAGAGUGCUGUUCAUUCACUCACUCCCACCUACAACUCCUGCCAGCACCAAGACUUGAACCGGAUACCUUCUUCUACAACAAAACCGAUGACAUUAAUUCACCAGUGAGAGGCAGCAGUGCGCUAAUGUGCAACAGGAACAAAACAACAGAAGAAGAAAUAAGGACGGUGAGCAUGCGCAGCAAGCAAAGUUUUGAAGCUGCGUCGAAUUUGCUUAAACUAAAAAGUAGAAAGACUGUUUACAUUUCACCUCUGGACAAAGAAUGAUUGAUUACUUCUACACAAUAAUAAUAAGGAAAAAAGCUUGUGUCAGCUGUCUUCUCUGAGCAGCGGUCUUGUGAUCACCAGCCUCAGUAUAAUAAAGAGGACACUUCACAUCCUAGAACCCAUAAAAUAAAAGAUUUGACAGAACUACACACCCAUCUGAGGCCUACCUGUUUUAAUUCAUGAUCACCCCGGAUACUUCUACAACUAACCUGCUUGGUGUCUGAUGCUGAUGCAGUCUGGGCACUAGUAUCUGUUGGCUGGCUGACUAUCACUGACGAUGAAGUACUUCUCCAAAUCUUGACCCAGUGUCUUCUGCCAUCAUUGUUCAGGGUAGUACUGCAAAGAAUAGUCUCCAGGGUCUGCCUCCAACAUUUGCUUCCCGACCACCAUGUGCUACGCUUGCAUCACUACACGUGGGUUACUCUGAUACUGUGAAGAAAACCUACAAUAUGAUGCUUGACUUGGGACAGAAAAAAAAACAUUGGCAACUUGUGUGGCCAACUCAUUGCCGUAUUUAAAAUCAUUGUACUGCUACCACCAUUGUUUAACAUAACUAAAAGCAGAUUGUUUUUGCUUUGUUUCAAAAUUUUUGUAAUACGAGUUAAAACUACAUUGAAAAAAAUAUAUCAUCUUUAACUUUGAACUGUCACUACAUUUGAUUUAGGGUAAUUAUGUGUGUGAAGAAUAGAACAUUGUUGUCAUGAAUUUGUAAUAGAUUUUUGAAGUAUUUAAGUUACUAGAGUAAUGGUAACUUUUUUUUUUUAAAGGCAAUUGGUCAAAACUAGAUUUCUGUUCAAGUAAAUACAACUUAGAAAUUCCAAGUUGCAGGAAAUGUUACUUGAUUUAGCUAAAUAUAAAUGAGUUGUUUGAAAUACGUACAUAGUAUAAUGUACUUAAUUUAGUUGUUGAAAAUAGUAAUUCUGAGUUACACGUUUACAACACUUAUAAAUAAACCUUUGUUAGUACAAAUUACUAUUCUUAUUUCACUUUACUUGUUUUUUUUUCAAGGCAAUCGGUUUGCAUGCUUUUUUAAAAUAAGGUUUACUCAUUUUAAUUUACAGUGCAGACAAGCUCCCUGCCCAGUGCACACUAGUGAGAUAAAUUCAAAACACUGUAAUUGUAAUAAAGUACUGUAACUAUACUGUACUACACUGUGUGAUUCUUUCAGCUCUCUCUCCAGUGCUAGGAUGCAUUUUUAAAGCAGUCACCUGUGCUCCUGUUCAUAAUUUCCUGAGAUGCUACUGAAUGCUUGCUUAUGGAUAAUUGUGUGUUAUUUGAGUUCAUACUGUGACAAUAGAGUUAACUAUUUGAUGUGUUUGUGUUUUAUGAAUGAUACUUUGGAGAAAUCAUUAAAAAAAAUUGUAAUGUGUGUA